CCUACGGGAGGCAGCAGUGAGGAAUAUUGGUCAAUGGGCGAGAGCCUGAACCAGCCAAGUCGCGUGAGGGAAGACGGUCCUAUGGAUUGUAAACCUCUUUUGCCGGGGAGCAAAAAGCGGUACGCGUACCGCAUCGAGAGUACCCGGAGAAAAAGCAUCGGCAAACUCCGUGCCAGCAGCCGCGGUAAUACGGAGGAUGCGAGCGUUGUCCGGAUUUAUUGGGUUAAAAGGGUGCGCAGGCGGAGAGUUAAGUCAGCGGUAAAAUUUCGGGGCUCAACCCCGACAAGCCGUUGAAACUGGGGUGCUAGAGUGGGCGAGAAGUAUGCGGAAUGCGUGGUGUAGCGGUGAAAUGCAUAGAUAUCACGAAGAACUCCGAUUGCGAAGGCAGCAUACCGGCGCCCAACUGACGCUCAGGCACGAAAGCGUGGGUAUCGAACAGGAUUAGAUACCCUUGUAGUC
rnacentral:rRNA from 1 species